UGGGGAAUAUUGCACAAUGGGCGCAAGCCUGAUGCAGCCAUGCCGCGUGUAUGAAGAAGGCCUUCGGGUUGUAAAGUACUUUCAGUCGGGAGGAAGGUGGUAAGGUUAAUAACCUUAUCAAUUGACGUUACCGACAGAAGAAGCACCGGCUAACUCCGUGCCAGCAGCCGCGGUAAUACGGAGGGUGCAAGCGUUAAUCGGAAUUACUGGGCGUAAAGCGCACUCAGGCGGUUGAUUGAGUCAGAUGUGAAAUCCCCGGGCUUAACCCGGGAAUUGCAUCUGAUACUGGUCAGCUAGAGUCUUGUAGAGGGGGGUAGAAUUCCAUGUGUAGCGGUGAAAUGCGUAGAGAUGUGGAGGAAUACCGGUGGCGAAGGCGGCCCCCUGGACAAAGACUGACGCUCAGGUGCGAAAGCGUGGGGAGCAAACAGG
rnacentral:rRNA from 1 species